rnacentral:rRNA from 1 species
UUUUGCAUAUCAAUAAGCGGAGGAAAAGAAACCAACAGGGAUUGCCCUAGUAACGGCGAGUGAAGCGGCAACAGCUCAAAUUUGAAAUCUGGCUCUUUCAGAGUCCGAGUUGUAAUUUGCAGAGGGCGCUUUGGCUUUGGCAGCGGUCCAAGUUCCUUGGAACAGGACGUCACAGAGGGUGAGAAUCCCGUACGUGGUCGCUAGCUAUUGCCGUGUAAAGCCCCUUCGACGAGUCGAGUUGUUUGGGAAUGCAGCUCUAAAUGGGAGGUAAAUUUCUUCUAAAGCUAAAUAUUGGCCAGAGACCGAUAGCGCACAAGUAGAGUGAUCGAAAGAUGAAAAGCACUUUGGAAAGAGAGUCAAACAGCACGUGAAAUUGUUGAAAGGGAAGCGCUUGCAGCCAGACUUGCUUGCAGUUGCUCAUCCGGGCUUUUGCCCGGUGCACUCUUCUGCAGGCAGGCCAGCAUCAGUUUGGGCGGUGGGAUAAAGGUCUCUGACACGUUCCUUCCUUCGGGUUGGCCAUAUAGGGGAGACGUCAUACCACCAGCCUGGACUGAGGUCCGCGCAUCUGCUAGGAUGCUGGCGUAAUGGCUGUAAGCGGCCCGUCUUGAAACACGGACCAAA